rnacentral:misc_RNA from 1 species
UCCGAGUUGACCCCGGCAGUCUCCCGUGAGUCCCCGUCACCCCGAAGGGCACGUUGGCAACACAGGACAAGGGUUGCGCUCGUUGCGGGACUUAACCCAACAUCUCACGACACGAGCUGACGACAGCCAUGCACCACCUGUACACCGACCACAAGGGGGCCCCUGUCUCCAGAGGUUUCCGGUGUAUGUCAAGCCUUGGUAAGGUUCUUCGCGUUGCGUCGAAUUAAGCCACAUGCUCCGCCGCUUGUGCGGGCCCCCGUCAAUUCCUUUGAGUUUCAGCCUUGCGGCCGUACUCCCCAGGCGGGGCACUUCAUGCGUUAGCGCCGGUACCCCGGGGGUCGCUCCCCAAAGCACCUAGUGCCCAUCGUUUACGGCGUGAACUAC